rnacentral:rRNA from 1 species
GCAGGCGCGAAACCUUUACACUGCACGCACGUGCGAUAAGGGGACUCCGAGUGCGAGGGCAUAUCGUCCUCGCUUUCGUGUACCGUAGGGUGGUACACCAACAAGGGCUGGGCAAGACCGGUGCCAGCCGCCGCGGUAAUACCGGCAGCCCAAGUGAUGACCGAUCUUAUUGGGCCUAAAGCGUCCGUAGCUGGCUGCGCAAGUCCGUCGGGAAAUCCACUCGCCCAACGAGUGGGCGUCCGACGGAAACUGCACAGCUUGGGACCGGAAGGCUCGAAGGGUACGUGCGGGGUAGGAGUGAAAUCCUAUAAUCCCGCACGGACCACCGAUGGCGAAAGCACUUCGAGAAAACGGAUCCGACAGUGAGGGACGAAAGCCAGGGUCUCCAACCGGAUUAGAUACCCGGGUAGUCCUGGCCGUAAACAAUGUUCGCUAGGUAUGACACAGACUACGUGUCUCUGUUGUGCCGUAGGAAGCCGAGAAGCGA